AGAAAGACAAGAGGCAACUGUCAGAAAGCUUUUCCUCUUUAGUCUGAAUGAUGACUGCUAAUAACAAAGCUCCCAACACAACCAGUCCUCCCCACACUGUGCACUCUCCAGGGCAGGAUUCCAGUCUGACCCACUGGCCAUGUGUCUCCCAUGCCUCCCACAGUCUGGGUACUCCAUUUUUCAUUGGUGGAUAAAAGAAUAAAGCGGUGUCCAUCCUCAUUCUCACCUAAGCUGUCUGGGCAACUGUGAUUCAGUUAGGGGAAACAUCUUGAGUGUUCAGCUUGUUGAUAUACAUUUAGUUCUAACUUCUUGCUUAUAACUGGAAUAUUCAGUUAGCUUGUUGAUAUACAUUUAAUUCCAACUCCAGGGCACUUGGGCCCCUAACACAAGGCAGGGCUGGGUCAGGGCUGGGGAACACUCUUCGUGGGAGUCAAGAAAUUCAUAAUCAGUCAAGAAAAGUGCCGAUCUUGAUUGUUUUAAGAGUGUUUUUAAAACCCACAAAAUAAAUAUUUCUAAAUUUAAAAAAAAAAAAAAAAAGAAAUUCAUGAUCAGGACAAACUAGAUGUAGGAGCACACCUACCUACUCCACAGCUGGAGUUCAACCAGCUCCUUACUAAAAAGCCUGCACUAUGCUUCCAGCCUGCCACCAGGCCUAACUCAGCUCCAAAUCAAAUCACCAGGUCCAGUGUAAGGUUAAAAGCAGUGGGCCAUCUAGUUACAACUGACACUUCUAAACACAGACACACUGAGCAGGGCUCAGGAAAAUAUGGCACACACAAGAAAUCUUAUAUCCAGCCCACAACCUGAGGAGGAUAUGAAUUUCAUCAGCAAAGACUGCAGCAGCUCCCACUCAUUCUUAAGUGAGCAUCAGGUCCCCUGUUAUCAUACAUGUCACCUCCACAUCAGUAGCUGUCACACUCUUCAAGGUCAACAUCCCCAUAUUAAAGAUGAAGGAGUUAAAGUUCUGAAAGGAAAGGUCAUGUAGCCAGGGCCACACGACUAUUAAAAAAAGUCAAAAACCAGGGGCGGCACCUGUGGCUCAGUGAGCAGGGCGCCGGCCCCAUAUGCCGAGGGUGGCGGGUUCAAACCCAGCCCCAGCCAAACUGCAACAAAAAAAUAGCUGGGCGUUGUGGUGGGCGCCUGUAGUCCCAGCUGCUCGGGAGGCUGAGGCAAGAGAAUCGCGUAAGCCCAAGAGUUAGAGGUUGCUGUGAGCCGUGUGACGCCACGGCACUCUACCUGAGGGCGGUACAGUGAGACUCUGUCUCUACAAAAAAAAAAAAAAAAGUCAAAAACCGGGCUGGGUGCAGUGGCUAACACCUGUAAUCCUAGCCAUCUGGGAAGCCAAGGCAGGAGGAUCAGUUGAGCUCAGUUCUCAGUUCUGACACCAGCCUAAGCAAAAGUGAGACCCCCGUCUCUCCUAAAAAUAGAAAAACUAGCCAGGCGUUGUGGUGGGUGCCUGUAGUCUCAGCUACUUGGAAAGCUAAGGAACAAGGAUCAUUGUCUCUCCUAAAAAUAGAAAAACUAGCCAGGCAUUGUGGCGGGUGCCUGUAGUCUAAGCUACUCGGAAGCUAAGGAACAAGGAUCAUUUGAGCCCUGGAGUUUGAGGCUGUUAUUAACAAGGCUGACCCCACAGCACUCUAGCCUAGAAAACAGAGUAAAACUGUCUCAAAAAGUCAGAAACUCUGUUAUUGCUGGCUCAGCAUCUCAUACUUUUUUUUUUUUUUGAGACAGAGUCUCACUUUGUUGCCCUCAGCAGAGUGCCGUGGCAUCACAGUUCAUAGCAACCUCCAACUCUUGGGCUUAAGCGAUUCUCUUGCCUCAGCCUCCCAAGUAGCUGGGACUACAGGCGCCCACCACAACGCCCAGCUAUUUUUUUGUUGCAAUUCUCAUUGCUAUUUUAGCUGGCCGGGGCCAGGUUCAAACCUGUCUCCCUCAGUUUAUGGGGCUGGCACCCUACCUACUGAGCCACAGGUGUCACCCAUCUCAUACUUUUCUAAUCUAGCAAUUAAAACUGCAAUUGAAUAAUUAUCUGUGAAAUUAUUCUGUAUGUCCUCUUCUAACUUGACUAUAAAUUCCAUCAGUGCUGAGACUGUGUGUGUCUUAUUCACUGCUCUACUCCCAGAAGGGACUAAAGCACAGACGGAGUAAGAACAAUAGCAAAUCCUACUGCAUGCCAGACAGUGCUGUAACCUGCCUGUAUACAAGAUGGCACCUGACUUAAUGAUAGUUCAACUUAAAAUAAUUCCAUCUUAUCAUGGUUUUGUCAUGAUGUAGCCCUGUGAUAGGUUGAGGAGCAUCUGGACUUGAUGGGUCAUCUUAAGAUAUUUUUAUAUUACAUUGGGAUUAUGAGGUAUUGAGUGCAGUUUCAACUUAAAAUGUGUAUAUCAGGACAUAACCCCAUCAUAAGGAGAGGAGCAUCUGUGUAGAUUUUCAUUUAAACGUCACAAAAGCCUGCUGAGCAUGUACUAUUAUUCCUAUUUUUCUGAGGCUCCAGACAGGUUAUGUUGGGUAUCAGAAAAUAAUAUUCCAAAGUAUAGCACUUUGGCAGGCUGAGUACUUUGAUAUAAAGAAGAACCAAGCAGGGUCUCUCACCCCUGUUUUUCUUAUCUGACUAAGGAAUACAACUGUCACAAAUCCCUUCCCUGGGAGUCUCACCAACUAGGGAGAACUAACUGCUAUCACAAGAAAGGAGACUAUAGGUUGGACACCAUGUCCAGUGUUUGUCACAGACUAUCACCUAUUCUGAGACAGUUUGUCUCCAAGACAGAUUUUACUACUCUCAGACUUAUGAGUGUAUUUCCUCCCUGCAACCACCAUAACUUGUAUCCUUGUCACCAGCUAGAAGCCCCAGAACCCUAUUCCUUUCUAUAGCUCAGGAUGCUAUAUAGUCAUGUGCCACAUAAUGACGUUUCACUCAAUGGUGGACCAUAUAUACAACAGGGAGCCAUAAGGUUACAAUGGAGCUGAAAAAUUCCUGUCACCUACUGACAUCACGGCUAUCACAUCAUGAUAGAAUGCACUCCUCACAGGUGAUGCAGGUAUAAACAAACCUUCGCUGUCAGUCAUAUAAAAAGUACAGGAUAUACAAUUAUGCGCAAUAUACAAUUUAACAUUCGAUAAUCAUAAAUGGCUAUGUUACUGGUUUAUGUGUAGGCAUACCUCAGAGAUACUGCAGGUUUAGUUCCAGACCACCACAAUAAAGUCACACAUUUUGUUGUUUACCAGUUCAUAUAAAAGUUAUGUUUAAUAGACUACACUAUACUAUAGUCUGUCAAGUAUACAUUAUCAUUAUGUAUAAAAAGGCAAUGUAUAUACUUUAAAAAUAUUUUAUUGCUAAAAAAUGCUAAUGAUCAUCUGCACCUUCAUCAAGUCUAUCUUUUUGCUACUGGAGGGUCUGGCCUUAAUACUGACGGCUGCUAACUGAGCAGGACACUGGCUGCUGAAGGCCGGGGUUGCUGUCUCAAUUUCUUAAAAUAAGACAACAAUGAUGUUUGCCACAUUGACUUUUCCUUUCAUAAAAGACUUCUCUGUAUCAUGGAAUGGAUGUUAUCUGAAAACCUUUUUACCUACAGUAGACUUUCGAAAUUGGAACCAAUCCUCUCAAACUCUAUUGCUGCUUUAUCAAUUGAGUUUAUGUAAUAUUCUAAAUUCUUUGUUGUCAUUUCAACAGCCUCUUCACCAGGUGUAGAUUCCAUUUCAAGAAACUAUCUUUGCUCAUCCCUAAGAAGUAACUCUUCGUUUGCUAAAGUUGUAUCAUGAAAUUGCAGCAAUUCAGUCCCAAGGUGAGGCUCCAUUUCUAAUUCUCAUUUUCUUGCCAUUUUUUUUUUUUUUACUAUUUCUUGCAGUUACUUCCUCUAUUGCCUAGAACCCCUCCAAAGUCAUCCAGGAGGGCGCGAAUCAACUUUUUUCAAACUCUUUUUAAAUGUUGAUAUUUUGACCUCAUCCCAUGAGUUAGGAAGGUUCUUACUAGGGAAGAAAGGAUGGUGAAUCCUUUCCAGAUGUUCAAUUUACUUUGCCUGGAUAUAUCAGAGGAACCACCAUCUAUACCAGUCAUAGCUUUAUAAAAGGUAUUUUUUUAAGUAUUAAGAUUUUCAAGUUAGCCAGGCACGGUGGCUCACACUUGUAAUCCUUGCACUCUAGGAUGCUAAGGUGGGUUGAUUGCUUGAGCUCAUGAGUUCAAGACCACCGGAGCAAAAGGGUCUCUACUAAAAAUAGAAAAACUGAGGCAAGAGGAUCGCUUGAGCCUGAGUUGGAGGUUGCUAUGAGCUAUGAUGCCAUGGCACUCUACCCAGGGAGACAACUUGAGACUCUGCCUCAAGAAAAAAAAAAAAAGAAAAAAAGACUUUCAAGUUCAGAUUGUUCCUUGAUCCACAGGUUACAGACUGGAUAUUAUGUUAGCAAGCAUGAAAACAACAUUUAAUCUCUUUGUAUACCUCCACUAUACAGAGCUCUUCCAUAAGACUAGGUACAUUUUCAAUGAACAGUAAUAUUUUGAAAGGAAUAUGUUUUUCCUGGACAACUGGUCUCAACAGUGGGCUUGUAAUAAAAUACUCAGUAAGCCAUGUUGUAAACAUGUCAUCCAGACUUUGUUGUUCCAUUUAUAGGGCAUGGGCAGAGUAGACUUAAUAUAACUCUUAAAGGUCCCAGGAUUUUCAGCAUGGUAAACAAGCUUUGACUUCAAUUGAGAAGUCACCAGUAGCAUUAGCCCCUAACAAGAGACUAAGCGUGUCCCUUCAAGCUUUAAAGCCAGGCACUGACUUUUCCUGCUAAAGUCCUACAUGGCAUCUUCUUCCAACAGAAGCCUGUUUCAUCUACACUGACAAUCCGUAUAGUGUGGACACCUUCCCAGUGAUCUUUGCUAGAUCUUCUGAAUAACCUGCUGCAGCUUCUAUGUCAACACUUGCUGUUCACUCUGAACUUUCAUGUUACGGAGAUGGCAUCUUUUCUUAAACCUCAUGAACCAAGCUCUGCUAGCUUCUAACUUUCUUUCUGCAGCGUCCUCAUUGUCUCAGCCUUCACAAUGUGGCAAACGGUCUUGCUCUGGAUUAGGAUUUGGCCUAAUGAAGAAUAUUGUGAAUAGUCUGAUCUAUCCAGACCAAUAAAUUUUCUAUCAGUAAUAAGGCUGUUUUGCUUUCUAAUUAUUCAUUUGUUCAAUGGAGUAGCACUUUUAAUGUCAAGAUUUUUUCCUUCUGGCCAGGCGCAGUGGCUCAUGCCUAUAAUCUCAGCACUCUGGGAGGCUAAAGUGGGUGGAUUGCUUCAACGGAGGAGUUCAAGACCAGCCUGAACCAGAGUAAGACUUCGUCUCUAAAAA